CUUUCUUUGAAUUUUUAAAACCGAUGGAUCGUCAAAAUUCUGAUGACAUCGUGAGAUUUCUCGAUGGAAUGGCUAGCUCCGACGACGUUCUAUUCGGUUUCCUCGACGAAGGAAACCAGUCACCGGAAGACUUCCCGGACUCCGGUAACCUCAACGGUGGUGGAGAUAUAGACGAUGUUGACGACAAUAGCAAUUGCAAUCCUGAAGUAAACAAAGCUUUCUGGCAGGAACAAGAAAAACUUCUUCAGGUACUUUUUUUUUCUUCUUUCAAAAAGUUCAAAAUCACAAUUUUUAGUUAGCCGGUUUAUUCGGGGGUCUAAAGUUGUUUGGGAUUGUGUAGGGGACACUGUAUAGGACAAGUUCAAUUGAGACUUAGCAACAAACAUUUAUACGAAGAGUAAGAGACAUUAAACGGAGCGCUAAAAAUGUAAAGGAAAACUUUAUAUAAUUUCAUUGUUAAAUGGGAGUUUUCGCCCGAUAUUCUAGAAUGAGUAAAACAAAUCUUUUGUUUUUUGGGUGAUAAAAGUCAUUUUUGGUUAUCCUUUUUUGCUAGAAGGGAAUCUUUUUAUUAUUAUUAGAAUAUAUGAUCAGAGUAUAUCCGAAUAUGUUGUGAAGAAGCUCACGAGAUUAGUCAUGCUGACAUAGGAACUAGCUGUCUUGAGCAAUCAUUCAUCCCCGAGAUCUGACACAUCCUCCUAUCAAAGUUCGACACGUCACAACCAAUCCUCUCUUUCGCGGCGCCUUGUACCUGCUUCGCUGAUUUCAGACCGGUCCCAUCUCCGCCCUCCCCCACUGCUAUAUAAACUCUCUUCUCUUUUCUCUCAAAAAUAAAAACAAAAAAAACAUUAAUUUUUCUCCCUUUCUUUGAAUUUUUAAAACCGAUGGAUCGUCAAAAUUCUGAUGACAUCGUGAGAUUUCUCGAUGGAAUGGCUAGCUCCGACGACGUUCUAUUCGGUUUCCUCGACGAAGGAAACCAGUCACCGGAAGACUUCCCGGACUCCGGUAACCUCAACGGUGGUGGAGAUAUAGACGAUGUUGACGACAAUAGCAAUUGCGAUGCUGAAGAAAACAAAGCUUUCUGGCAGGAACAAGAAAAACUUCUUCAGGUACUUUUUUUUCUUCUUUCAAAAAGUUCAAAAUCACAAUUUUUAGUUAGCCGGUUUAUUCGGGGGUCUAAAGUUGUAUGGGAUU
rnacentral:lncRNA from 1 species